rnacentral:misc_RNA from 1 species
AAAGUCGUAACAAGGUCUCCGUUGGUGAACCAGCGGAGGGGAUCAUUUACCGAGUUUACAACCCCCAAACCCCAUCGUGAACAUACCAAUUGUUGCCUCGGCGGAUCAGCCCGCUCCCGGUAAAACCGGGACGGCCCGCCAGAGGACCCCUAAACUCUGUUUCUAUAUGUAACUUCUGAGUAAAAAUCCAUAAAUAAAUCAAAAG